rnacentral:misc_RNA from 1 species
CCGAGAGAGGGUGCCGCGCGCACCCGACCUCCCAACCCUUUGUCGACCGCACCGCGUUGCCUCGGGGCCGCCCCACCCGGCGCCCCAGAGGACCUCAAUCACAACUCUGCGUCCCUGCGUCGGAGUCUUAUGGAUGAAUCAAUCA